rnacentral:rRNA from 1 species
UGCGUAGGCGGAUAAAUAAGUCAGUGGUGAAAUCUUCCGGCUCAACCGGGAAACUGCCAUUGAUACUGUUUAUCUUGAGUUCGGUAGAGGUAGGCGGAAUGUGUAAUGUAGCGGUGAAAUGCUUAGAUAUUACACAGAACACCAAUUGCGUAGGCAGCUUACUAGACCGACACUGACGCUGAGGCACGAAAGCGUGGGGAGCGAACAGGAUUAGAUACCCUGGUAGUCC